rnacentral:rRNA from 1 species
CCUACGGGUGGCUGCAGUGGGGAAUAUUGGACAAUGGGCGAAAGCCUGAUCCAGCCAUGCCGCGUGUGUGAAGAAGGCCUUCGGGUUGUAAAGCACUUGCAGUGGGGAAGAAAGCCUUGGGGCUAAUACCCUCGAGGAAGGACAUCACCCACAGAAGAAGCACCGGCUAACUCCGUGCCAGCAGCCGCGGUAAUACGGAGGGUGCGAGCGUUAAUCGGAAUUACUGGGCGUAAAGCGCGCGUAGGCGGUCUGAUAAGCCGGUUGUGAAAGCCCCGGGCUCAACCUGGGAACGGCAUCCGGAACUGUCAGGCUAGAGUGCAGGAGAGGAAGGUAGAAUUCCCGGUGUAGCGGUGAAAUGCGUAGAGAUCGGGAGGAAUACCAGUGGCGAAGGCGGCCUUCUGGACUGACACUGACGCUGAGGUGCGAAAGCGUGGGUAGCAAACAGGAUUAGAUACCCUAGUAGUC